GAUGAACGCUAGCUACAGGCUUAACACAUGCAAGUCGAAGGGCAGCAUGAACAUAGCUUGCUAUGUUUGAUGGCGACCGGCGCACGGGUGCGUAACACGUAUCCAAUCUGCCCGUUACUCGGGGAUAGCCUUCUGAAAGGAAGAUUAAUACCCGAUGGCAUGUAUUUCCGGCAUCGGAUAUACAUUAAAGAUUUAUCGGUAACGGAUGAGGAUGCGUACGAUUAGCUGGUUGGCGGGGUAACGGCCCACCAAGGCGACGAUCGUUAGGGGUUCUGAGAGGAAGGUCCCCCACACUGGAACUGAGACACGGUCCAGACUCCUACGGGAGGCAGCAGUGAGGAAUAUUGGUCAAUGGUCGGAAGACUGAACCAGCCAAGUAGCGUGAAGGAUGACUGCCCUACGGGUUGUAAACUUCUUUUGUUUGGGAAUAAAAGACGCUACGUGUAGCGUUCUGCAUGUACCUUACGAAUAAGCAUCGGCUAAUUCCGUGCCAGCCGCCGCAGUAAAAC
rnacentral:rRNA from 1 species